rnacentral:rRNA from 1 species
AUUGAACGCUGGCGGCAUGCCUUACACAUGCAAGUCGAACGGCAGCACGGGUGCUUGCACCUGGUGGCGAGUGGCGAACGGGUGAGUAAUACAUCGGAACAUGUCCUGUAGUGGGGGAUAGUCCGGCGAAAGCCGGAUUAAUACCGCAUACGAUCUACGGAUGAAAGCGGGGGACCUUCGGGCCUCGCGCUAUAGGGUUGGCCGAUGGCUGAUUAGCUAGUUGGUGGGGUAAAGGCCUACCAAGGCGACGAUCAGUAGCUGGUCUGAGAGGACGACCAGCCACACUGGAACUGAGACACGGCCCAGACUCCUACGGGAGGCAGCAGUGGGGAAUUUUGGACAAUGGGCGAAAGCCUGAUCCAGCAAUGCCGCGUGUGUGAAGAAGGCCUUCGGGUUGUAAAGCACUUUUGUCCGGAAAGAAAUCCUUGGCCCUAAUACGGUCGGGGGAUGACGGUACCGGAAGAAUAAGCACCGGCUAACUACGUG